rnacentral:rRNA from 1 species
AUUGAACGCUGGCGGCAGGCCUAACACAUGCAAGUCGAGCGAGCGGCGGAAGGGUGAGUAAUGUAUGGGGACUGCCCGAUAGAGGGGGAUAACUACUGGAAUCGGUAGCUAAUACCGCAUACUAUCGGAUAACCCAUAUGGGAUUAGCUAGUAGGGGAGGUAAUGGCUCACCUAGGCGACGAUCCCUAGCUGGUCUGAGAGGAUGAUCAGCCACACUGGGACUGAGACACGGCCCAGACUCCUACGGAGGCAGCAGUGGGGAAUAUGGCACAAUGGGCGAGAGCCUGAUGCAGCCAUGCCGCGUGUAUGAAGAAGGCCCUAGGGUUGUAAAGUACUUGCAGUCGGGAGGCGUUACCGACAGAAGAAGCACCGGCUGAUUCCGUGCCAGCAGCCGCGGUGAUAC